UACGUAGGGCGCAAGCGUUGUCCGGAAUUACUGGGCGUAAAGGGCGCGUAGGCGGCCUGCUAAGUCGAACGUGAAAUCCCUGGGCUCAACCCAGGAACUGCGUCCGAUACUGGUUGGCUUGAAUCCGGGAGAGGGAUGCGGAAUUCCAGGUGUAGCGGUGAAAUGCGUAGAUAUCUGGAGGAACACCGGUGGCGAAGGCGGCAUCCUGGACCGGCAUUGACGCUGAGGCGCGAAAGCCAGGGGAGCAAACGGG
rnacentral:rRNA from 1 species